rnacentral:rRNA from 1 species
UACGUAGGGUGCAAGCGUUGUCCGGAAUUAUUGGGCGUAAAGAGCUUGUAGGCGGUUUGUCGCGUCUGCUGUGAAAAUCCGGGGCUCAACCCCGGACUUGCAGUGGGUACGGGCAGACUAGAGUGUGGUAGGGGAGACUGGAAUUCCUGGUGUAGCGGUGAAAUGCGCAGAUAUCAGGAGGAACACCGAUGGCGAAGGCAGCUCGCUGGGACGGCACUGACGCUGAGGUGCGAAAGCGUGGGGAGCGAACAGG